GCUUGUCUCAAAGAUUAAGCCAUGCAUGUUCAAGUAUAGCAAGUGUACAGUGAAACUGCGAAUGGCUCAUUAAAUCAGUUAUAAUUUAUUUGAUAGUGAAAUUGUACAUGGAUAACCGUGGCAAUUCUAGGGCUAAUACAUGCGUCAAUGGUCGGUCGACCAGUAUUUAUUAGAUACAAAGCCAGCCGUCAGGAUCAGGUGAUUCAUGGUAACCGAACGAAUCGCACGGCACCAGCUGGCGAUGGACCAUUUCAGUUUCUGACCUAUCAGCUUCCGACGGUAGGAUAUGGGCCUACCGUGGCAAUGACGGGUAACGGAGAAUUAGGGUUCGAUUCCGGAGAGGGAGCCUGAGAAACGGCUACCACAUCUAAGGAAGGCAGCAGG
rnacentral:rRNA from 1 species